UGAGAGGAUGGAAGUUCAACAUGUAGUUACAGUGGAUGUAGUAUGCUAAUGUUAACUACCUGGCCUGGCUUAUCGUUCCUUUGAAAAUAAGUUAGGAGAGCAAGUAUUUUAGCCAGGUAACCUAGGACAACAAAAACUAAAAAGCAUGUACUGUAUUGUAUGACAGAGUCAUAGACCGUUUAGUCAACAUGAAAGAGGAGGAUGACGUUGGCGUUUCUCUAUAAAUAGUGAGUCAACAUGUUUUUUUUCUACUUGCACGCACACACAUAUUUGCACACAGAAAUCAGUCCCAUGGACAGCCACAUCAUAUGUAUCUUACGUUGUUGAUUGGACUAAAUCGUUUUUGUUUUGCCGCCCUGACUCUGGCUCCUGUCUCCUGUUCCACUUCUCACCACCCUGCAACCCUGUUCUGGACUCACCACACCACCACUCCCUAGGAUUCCCCUCCGGACCUGUUUACCCUCAAUCAACAUGACCAAGCUCUUAAAACCCUUCUGGAGACUACCUUCGCCCAAAGCUCACAACCUGUCCCUCCUCUCUGCACCGGGAGCCGUUUGUUCCUACUCCAGAGCGCUACAAUGGUAAUCUUGGAACCUGCAGGGCCUUUUUGGUACAAUGUUCACUAGUAUUUGAGCAACAGCCCUACUCUUAUGCUCGUGAACAAGCCAAGAUUUAGUUUUUGAUUGGUUGCCUCUGUGGAGCAGCGCUUUCCUGGGCCACUGCUGUGUGUGAGGGACAGUCACCCAUUUGCUUCUCCUGUAGUAGAUUCACGGAUACCCAGUCGCCCCUGGUCACACAUAGCUCUAGACUUCAUCACUGGCCUUCCUCCAUCUAACAGUAACUCAGUCCAGGACCACAGGCGCCAUUGUCAUUGCACCUGGAGGAGGGACUGGUCUGUUUCUCGUGCCUCUGCCAGGACCCAAUCCCAAGCUAACCGUUCCCGUGCUCCAGUCUACACUCCAGAUCAAAAGGAUUUCCAUACCUCACACCCUGACAAGUCGGGUUGUGCACCAGAUGGCGCCCUUGGGGGCUCCUGCCACACCCCCUAGUGGUCAUCCGGUGUCUGCUUGACCUGCAGCCAUUCCCCCAGUACUCUCUCGCUCUCUCUCUCUCCACUGCUUUUGAGAGGCACAUGUCCGUUUAGAAGUUUGACCAAUGGAUGUACUGCUAGUUCUGCUCCCCAUGGGACCCCAUAGGCUCACAUGGAUAGGCGGAGUUGAAGGUAAAGACAAAAUUAUGAACCUGGACAUUAAAACACUGGUGGAUUUCCUGGAAACUGAGGAGUCCAUUCAAAUUGAAUGUCUUUGAAAGUAUACAUACCCUUCUUAGACCAAUAAUCUGAUAUAAAUGGUUUCUUACACAAUAAUUAUUAUUUAUUACGCCAUAUUGGCGAGUAUGAAUGCAAUUUAAGAUUAGUUCUCAUAUGCUUCUUUGUAGCUUUCCACACAUUUACUGAGUGUGCUAUAAUGGGUCCAAACAAUAACACACAUUUUCUAGGAGUCAAUCCAGAAAAGAAUACAUCUUGUAAUCUAAUUGGUGAAACUAUUGACUCUUCUACAGCACGCCAAGGAACAGAAGCCUCUGGGUUUAACCAGGUCUUCAGGGAAUUCAUUUGGAAUGAUAGGUGAUACAUUUUUUGGAUUUGGAACUGCAAGUCCACCUGAUUUUGUUUUUGUUCUCUGUAGUGUUGCAUAUUUAAUCUGUGGUCUCUUUCUCCCCCAAAUGAACUUCUUUAUGACAGAGUAAAGUUGAGACCAAUGGUCUAUAGGAGGAGGCAGUGGUAGCAUGGAACUCAUUAAAUUGAUAUGAGGAAGGAUCAUUGAGAUUUUGAUCAUUGAGAUUCUAGCAUGCAAAGAAGUGGCCAUAUCAGACCAUCUUUUUCUGUAUUUUUGGAUCUUUUGAAAGGUUUCUAAGUAGUUCUUCCUGCUAGUAGUGUGAAUAGAUGGGGAUAUGGUAAUGCCUAAGUACGUGAUUUGUUUCUUCACUGGGAUCAUGGGUGGUAGUUGCACGCUUCCCAUAGCUGAGUUAAGAGCUAGUAGAGCUGAUGUAGACCAGUUGAUUGGAAAAUAGACAUUAUUGGCUGGAGGGAUUUCUGAGCGUUUGCGACGUAGAGCAGUAUGUCAUCUGCAUACAGAGAAAUUGCUUGUUCAGUUUGUUUGAUUUUGAUAUGUGAGGAAGCCUAAUGUUGACGUAUGCUUUGUGCCAGCGGUUCAAGAGGGAGCAAAUAGCAUAGUGGAGGCGGGACAGCCUUGUUUACGUCCUCGUUGUAUGAUAAAUGGAUUAGAAUGGGUAGUGCCAGUAGAUAUAACAGAAGAAUGAUUUACAUGUAUGGCGCGAAUCAUUUGUAUAAAUCUGGUCCCAAAACCAAAAUGUUCAAGAACAAGCCAUAGAUAUUCCCACUCUAAGCCGUCAAAGGCUUUCUCUGCAUCUAAUGAUAGCACAGCACACGGUGUAUCCAGAUAGGACGCCUCAACAACCACAUGAAACAUGCGGCACACGUUAUCGGCUGCCUGACGAUCCUUAAUAAACCCUGUUUGUUCAGGAUGUAUGAGCUUGUUAAUAACUAUCUCUUGACUAGAACUUUUGCAUACAUCUUCAUUUAUGUUCCGAUUAAACUCAUUGGCCGAAAAUUA